rnacentral:rRNA from 1 species
GUCUAUGGCCAUACCACCCUGAACGCGCCCGAUCUCGUCUGAUCUCGGAAGCUAAGCAGGGUCGGGCCUGGUUAGUACUUGGAUGGGAGACCAUAAACA